ensembl:lncRNA
UGCUGGCUGCUGUUCUUCCCCAAAAACUGCUGGCUGCCCCAGCCCUGCCACCAGCAGGAGAAUGGACCGGCCGAAACCCAGCCAACGUCACGCUGAACCUGCCUUGAGAACGGCUGCAGAGUCCUGGAGCCUUGUGUUCUGCUYGGAGCUGUGUUGUAAAGCACUUUCAGAGGUGGUGAUAGAAGUAGGACUGAGUUCUUCUAUGCACUGAAACUCUGCCGAAGGGACAUCUUUAAAAUAGGCUUUGAAGCCCCGCCGCCGGUCCUACCACCGCAGCGAUGGGAGCGAACGCCCCAGGUGUCCCUUGCAGCGCUUCCUGCAUCCAGUUCCCCCUCCCGCCCUGCUCGUGGUCUCUCUGGCCCGCAGCAUCACCCUCAGCCAGCUCGGCACAUCCUUGCCCUGAGGAAGUCAGCCCAGGCCCCUCCCUCCCUCCCGCCCGCCCGGGCUGCAGCCCCUUCGCCUCUCUGCUCGGCUCCCGCUGUGCGCCAGGAGAGGCACCUCGCGGCUCCCCAUCCCUCCCGUCGGCCCGGCAUCCAUGGAAGCCCCCAGCGCCGUGCACGUGCCCACCUACAAGUGGUGGUCCAUCUUCAACAUCCUCUGCUGCUGCCUGCCCCUGGGGCUGAUCGCCCUCUACUACUCGGGACAGGUGGAGGGACGCCUGCGGCACCAGGACAUCGAUGGAGCGCGUGCUGCCUCUCACACCGCGAAAAUCCUCAACUGCCUGGCGCUGCUGCUGGGGCUGGUGGCCAUCGGCGUGAUGAUCUACUGCAUCAGCCAGCAGCAGGUGCUCCUCAGCAGGGUCUGAGCGGAGCCCGCCGUGAUGGCCGUCCGGGAAAAGCUUCGGCUGAGCCCAGAGUCCCAGGGCAGCGGUGCAGGACUCUGUGUCUGUGA